rnacentral:rRNA from 1 species
GAUGAACGCUGGCGGCGUGCCUAAUACAUGCAAGUCGAGCGAACGGACGAGAAGCUUGCUUCUCUGAUGUUAGCGGCGGACGUGUGAGUAACACGUGGAUAACCUACCUAUAAGACUGGGAUAACUUCGGGAAACCGGAGCUAAUACCGGAUGAUAUUUUGAACCGCAUGGUUCAAAAGUGAAAGACGGUCUUGCUGUCACUUAUAGAUGGAUCCGCGCUGCAUUAGCUAGUUGGUAAGGUAACGGCUUACCAAGGCAACGAUGCAUAGCCGACCUGAGAGAGUGAUCGUCCAGGCUGGAACUGAGACGCGGUACAGACUCCUACGGGAAGCAGCAGUAGGGAAUCUUCCGCAAUGGGCGAAGGCCUGACGGAGCAACGCGGCGUGAGUGAUGAAGGUCUUCGGAUCGUAAAACUCUGUUAUUAGGGAAGAACAUAUGUGUAAGUAACUGUGCACAGCUUGACGGUACCUGAUCAGAAAGCCACGGCUAACUACGUG